UUUUGCAAACCCAGGUCAGAGUGGAAAAUUCCCCUAGGGCUCAGGCUGUGAGAAACAUCCUGCCGGGCAAGUCCUAAGCCCAACCGCCUGAUCUCAGGAAAUUCCUCACUUAGCAACAGCUAACCACCCUGCCCACCCCACUUCACAACAAGCCCAGAUCUCUCCCACCCGGACCUAAACUUACCCAGUCUGUAAGCGGGGGCGGGCUCUGGCCUUAGUUGGUGUCCCCCUCCGCGGGUGUUUGUUCGGUAAACCUGUGUUGCUGUAGAGCCGCCUCCGUCCGUUUUUCCUCCCGUUCCUGCGCUAACAAUGACAUUAUACCAAAUGUAACUGAUAUACUAAUACAUGCUGCUGUAAUAAGGAGUCCUCAUUUAAGUUACUGUGUCCAAAAUGAGUUUCCAGUGGUCCUCCAUCUUGAUACAUGCUCCAGUAUCACUUAUACAGAAAGGGUGGACAUGGGAACCAGGAAGAAGAACUUGAUAACAGGACCUUGCAUAAUUAAUCGAUUGAUCACUGAACUUCAUUGUCAUAUUUCUACGGUCAAAUUUUGGGAGAAAGCUGUCGCAAAUUCAUCAGAGUGUAGCAAUGCCCGAGUUGUAACUGAGUUCCAUCUGGAUAAAACCAAGAUAGAAAUUGUGCCUCAUAAUUGAUAUUUUGAGGAUUCCAUGAAGUAAUAAAUUUAUUAUGUGCUAAGAAAUAUGUGCCUGGUCAUAAAUUUAAUUAAGUGACAAAAUAUUUCAGAAUAUGGCAAUUUUGGAACAGUAAAAUAUUUAUUGAUGGAAUUCAGAAUAGCUGACAUUUGGAGAUUAAGGACCCUUCAUUCUAUUUUCUAUGAAAAGGAAAGGAGGCUGGGUGCAGUGGCUCAUGCCUGGAAUCCCAGCACUUUAGGAGGCCGAAGCAGGCGGAUUGCUUGAACUCAAGAGCUCGAGUCCGGCCUGGGCAACAUGGUGAAACCCCAUCUUUACACAAAAUACAAAAAUUAGCCAGACAUGGUGGUAUCAGUCUGUAGUCCCAGCUACUCUGGAGGCUGAGCUGGGAGCAUGGCUUGUACUCAGGAGGCAGAGGUGGCGGUGAGCUGACAUCACACCACUGCACACCAGCCUGGGCGACAGAGUGAGAUCCUGGCCCAAAACAAAAAGGAGUCCCUAGGUAGCAAACUGCAACUUAACUUCAUAUGAAAACAAUCUACAACUGUAACAUAUUCUGUAACAAAUAACUGAGACUCAGUUAAUUAUAGCAGCUGGGCUUUAACCAGUCAUGGGAUGACAACUGAUCAGACCAUGUAUCUGUAUAAGGCAAGUGCUUCAUCACACCGUGGCUGAAUCAGACAAGAGACACACCUCUUAUUACAGAAGAAAUAUCAAGUAUUCCACAAGAAGAGAGUUCAAGUGGAAAGAGAAAAGUCAUGUUACAUAAGAUUGUCUCUAAUCAGUCAACCACUGGAGUCAGAUAAAAAUAGAAGAUGAAAAUCUGUCAGAUGAAAUUUCACUUUGGAAAUAUUGUUUGUGUUCUUCAAAUGUAUAAGAUUUGUGUUUCUAUCCACAAAUUGUGUAUACAGCAGCACAUUAAAAGAGGUAGUUUCAGCUGAUGUUCCCCAAAGUGCAUAUCGUAUGUCCCAAUGUUUCUGCAUAUCCUAUACUUUAAUAUCUAAAUUAUAUAAAGACCCCAUCUGUUGCACAAAAAUUUGUCCUUCUGAAGAUUUCUGAGAAUUCCUAGGAAACGCUUGCAUGUCUCAAUUAUUUCUGGUCAUGUCUUCCUCUGAAUUUUUGUUUCAAACUGCCCUUCAUUAUUUCUGGCCAUAUCCUUUAGCCCCAGCCAUGCCUUCAUGGUUCCUCUCUGCAUAUUUUGCCUGUGAAAAUGAACUCAGCCUUUAACUUUAUUUUCUAAGAUAGUGAGAACACAAAACUGCUUGAGGAUGCAUAGGUAACUUACAACUUAGAAAAUAAAGUUAUAAAUUUAAAUUUAUAGAUUCAAUGCUAUUUCCCUCAAGCUACAACUGAC
rnacentral:lncRNA from 10 species